AUUGAACGCUGGCGGCAGGCUUAACACAUGCAAGUCGAGCGGAGCGAGGGUGCUUGCACCUUAGCUUAGCGGCGGACGGGUGAGUAAUGCUUAGGAAUCUGCCUAUUAGUGGGGGACAACAUUCCGAAAGGAAUGCUAAUACCGCAUACGCCCCACGGGGGAAAGCAGGGGAUCUUCGGACCUUGCGCUAAUAGAUGAGCCUAAGUCGGAUUAGCUAGUUGGUGGGUAAAGGCCUACCAAGGCGACGAUCUGUAGCGGGUCUGAGAGGAUGAUCCGCCACACUGGGACUGAGACACGGCCCAGACUCCUACGGGAGGCAGCAGUGGGGAAUAUUGGACAAUGGGCGCAAGCCUGAUCCAGCCAUGCCGCGUGUGUGAAGAAGGCCUUUUGGUUGUAAAGCACUUUAAGCGAGGAGGAGGCUACUUAGAUUAAUACUCUAGGAUAGUGGACGUUACUCGCAGAAUAAGCACGGCUAACUCUGUGCCAGCAGCCG
rnacentral:rRNA from 1 species